AGAACGAACGCUGGCGGCAGGCUUAACACAUGCAAGUCGAACGGUUGUAGCAAUACAGCAGUGGCAGACGGGUGAGUAACACGUGGGAACCUUCCUAGGGGUACGGAACAACUCAGGGAAACUUGAGCUAAUACCGUAUACGUCCGUGAGGAGAAAGAUUUAUCGCCCCUAGACGGGCCCGCGUAGGAUUAGGUAGUUGGUGAGGUAACGGCUCACCAAGCCUACGAUCCUUAGCUGAUCUGAGAGGAUGAUCAGCCACACUGGGACUGAGACACGGCCCAGACUCCUACGGGAGGCAGCAGUGGGGAAUCUUGGACAAUGGGCGCAAGCCUGAUCCAGCCAUGCCGCGUGAGUGAAGAAGGCCUUCGGGUUGUAAAGCUCUUUUACCAGGGACGAUAAUGACGGUACCUGGAGAAUAAGACCCCGGCAAACUUCGCGCCAGCAGCCGAC
rnacentral:rRNA from 1 species